GACGAACGCUGGCGGCGUGCUUAACACAUGCAAGUCGAACGGAAAGGCCCUGCUUUUGUGGGGUGCUCGAGUGGCGAACGGGUGAGUAACACGUGAGUAACCUGCCCUUGACUUUGGGAUAACUUCAGGAAACUGGGGCUAAUACCGGAUAGGAGCUCCUGCUGCAUGGUGGGGGUUGGAAAGUUUCGGCGGUUGGGGAUGGACUCGCGGCUUAUCAGCUUGUUGGUGGGGUAGUGGCUUACCAAGGCUUUGACGGGUAGCCGGCCUGAGAGGGUGACCGGGCACAUUGGGACUGAGAUACGGCCCAGACUGCUACGGGAGGCAGCAGUGGGGAAUAUUGCGCAAUGGGCGGAAGCCUGAUGCAGCAACGCCGCGUGCGGGAUGACGGGCUUCGGGUUGUAAACCGCUUUCGCCUGAGACGAAGCGGGAGUGACGGUAAUGGGUAAAGAAGCACCGGCUAACUACGUG
rnacentral:rRNA from 1 species